CUUUUGCAACUUUCCCAAGUCUGUGCGCAGAGAGAGAGAAGGAAAACUCAGAGGGAAGAAGCUGGCUAACAAAGUCUUUCAGGUUCCCAAAGCCGUUUAAUUCUCUGGCGCAGCUGAGACCUUUGAUCCAAGAAGAGACCUCCAGACUCAGAGAGAGCGCCCACCUGCCCCCGGAGGCCAAGUGCUACAGCCUCAGCUGUUCUGAAGCCACUUCAUGAAUCCUCGGAAGAAGGUGGACUUGAAGCUCAUCAUUGUCGGAGCACUUGGAGUGGGAAAGACCUCCCUCCUUCACCAAUAUGUCCACAAGACAUUUUAUGAGGAAUACCAGACCACGCUGGGGGCCAGCAUCCUCUCCAAGAUCAUCAUGCUGGAUGACACAACUUUGAAGCUGCAGAUCUGGGACACAGGCGGUCAGGAGCGGUUCCGCUCCAUGGUGUCCACCUUCUAUAAAGGCUCUGAUGGCUGUAUCCUGGCUUUUGAUGUCACCGACCUGGAGUCCUUUGAAGCCCUGGAUAUCUGGCGGGGUGAUGUUCUGGCCAAGAUUAUCCCUAUGGAGCAGUCCUACCCCAUGGUGGUGCUGGGGAACAAAAUUGACCUGGAAGACAGGAAGGUGCCCCAGGAGGUAGUCCAAGGCUGGUGUAAAGAGAAGGACAUUCCCUACUUUGAAGUCAGUGCCAAAAAUGACAUCAACGUGGUGCAAGCCUUUGAGGUGCUGGCCAGCCGGGCUCUGUCACGGGUGAGUGAGGGGCAUGGUGAUGGCACUGGCUAGGACUGCCCCUAAGCUCAGCAAUCCCAGGAGCUGCCAGGAGAAAAGAGUAUAUUGGUCCAGGUGGGGAUGUGCGCGUGACAGAGUGCUCAUCAUCUUGGUGAAUCAUCCACUACGUGGCCUCAACAGUUCAGAGACCACAAAUUUUAGAGGCAUAAAAUGCAACAGAAUAUGCCAUCAGCGGCCCCAGAGACUGGUUAUCAAGAUUCUUUGCAGUGAAUAUGAAAAUUCCAUUCCUGUGCCUUACCCCUGAAGAUUCUAAUUUUAGUAAGCGUUUGAGAAGUGUUUAUCCAGACCAAUCCUCAUGGGGGGGACAGAAGCUCCAUGGAGACAGGCAUUUAUCCAAGCAGAAUACCCAGCCCGGAGAGCUGCUGACAUCUUCCAAUCCAAAGAUGACCAGACCCAGACCCCGCCGUGCCAUGGCUGCACAAGCAUGCAUCGAGGGUGGGAUACCUGCUAGGCACCAUGCUAGGGUCAGGGGACCCUGGGUCUCAGCAGGGAGACAGAGGAGCAAUUGCAGUUCAGCCCUCGCUCAGUGGGAAGGGCACACCACAACCCCCGUUUGAGACAGGGAGCCAGAGAGAGGAGGGGAGAUCUUGAAAGGCUGCCUAGAAGCGGGAGCAGGGUUUUAAUGCUGCUUUGAUGUGGGGACUUAUCUUUUUUGGAUGAGCCUGACACCUUUAAUCAGUUGGACCUCUUAAAAGAAGGGAGAGGAUAAUCCCAGCAAUGAGAGGAAUGGAGGAAAUGAGCAAAUGCGGGUUGGGGAUUGGAGGCUUUCCCUGAGUGGAAGCAUGUGCCAUUAUCCUGUCGUUGUGGGUGACCCCACGGGCUUGCCUGACCCGGAGCUACCUACUGUCCAGGAGUGAAGCGCUCCGGCCGCUGGGGGCUGGGCACCGUGGAGAGGGGCCGCAGCGACCUCUAGCGGCUGCCAAGGGAGAAGGCGCGAGCUUGCCACCCUCAGCGCGGCGCGGAUCUGGGGGUUUGCCCCGCCCCCCCGCCACUCCCCCAGGGCUUGGCUGGUGCUCCCAUUCCCAACCUUGCUCUCUCUGGUUAGAGGGAAGCAGCGGGUGUCCACCUCGUUGUGCACUGUCAAAACGUGUGGCUUUAGUACACAGUCGGGACAGCUGGCUCCUACUAUGCAGGUGUGCCUGUCCCCACCAUUCCCAGGAACACUAACUCUUCCCUUCUACCAUGACCUGGGAUAAUACCCCACAAUCGCUCCAGUUAUUGCCAAACGCUAAGUCACAAGGAAGCUUCCAUCAGCACACGGCCAGGGUCCCUGUGUGGUUAGCAUCUGUCCUUUUAAAGGAGAGAAUGUCCUUUAUUCUUGAAAUUAUGUCUUUCCUAUUGAAUUAGGGUUCAAUUAUGCCCUUCCUUCUGUGCCACGGGUUAUGACGUGGUGCCAUCAGUAGAUGGGAGCCUGUCUGCUUGUUCCUUUUAACAUCCUUUCUUGGCAAAAGAAUAAGUCAGCAAUUGCCAUGUUAGUCCCCCACGAUUAUGCAGGAAAUUGACUGAGCAGACGUCUGGGAGUGACAAGCGUGGUGACUGCGUCAGACUGACCUAGAUUUGAGUCCUUCCUGAGGGCCUGUGGGUGGACCCCCCAGAGCAGGACAUAUGACUUGUCUGACCCUCAGUUUCUUCAUCUAUAAAAUAAAAUUAAUUUCAUUCCAUAACCAUUUCUUGGGCUGUCAGGCCAGGGCUGGAGAUGAAAACCUCAGUGCACUCGGGGUCAGGAGAGCAAGACAUUCACAAAGUGAAUGGAGUCCGCGCUGCAGGAGAUCGUGAUGAAGGACAGAGGUGACUCAAGCAGCUGGUGGCCAGGGUGAAGGAGGUUGCCUGACUGGGGAGGUGGCAAGUGAGCAGGGUUUUGACAGGCGUCUCGCAGUUUGCCAGCGGACAUGAUAAGCCACUGGGGGUGUGAGCAGGAGGAGAAGAGUGGCAGAGAGAGAGGGCAGGUCCCCAGCCCAGGCAUGAACAUGGGGCCGAGUGAGCCGCCAACUAUGAGUGGAGUUUGCAAGGGAGGGAAUUAUGUCAUCGAGGGAUGCAGGUGUAGGGACACAUGCUGAGUGAUGAAGGUUGACAGUACCAGAUCACAGAGGCCUCGUGAGCCCCACCAGGAGCACAGACUUCAUGCCAAAGAUCCAUGAUUUCUGGAUGGUGCUGCUAACUGUUCAGGGCCCUUAGGGGCCACCCAGUUCCUCGAAGCCCAACAGGGCACAUCUUUCUGCAGUGUCUGUGCUACUCAGAAAUUUGCAAGAGAAACAUUUUCAUAUUCAGACAGACACACCAGGGCAUAGAAAGUAAAUUUUGCAUGGGCAUUUAGGGUGAAAUACAUUGAGGUCAGAGGGUUUGUUUUUGUUUUUUUCAGGGGUGGAUACUGGGGAUUGAAUCCAGAGAUGCUUAACCACUGAGACCUAUCCCCAGUCCUUUUCAUUUUUUAU